GGAUUUUUGGUGGGGUGUUGAUGCAAUGUUUUGCAACUAGAUAGGGAUGAUGGCUGGCUGCACAGCAUUGAUGGAGUUCAAUGGUGCAAUCGCGGCUCACGGCAACUAGAGGAGUUAUAACACAAGAUUUGGGGUGACGGCAUGGAAAUUAAAAGCUGGUGAAGCACAUGGCCUUUAGAUCUGGAUGUACUUGAGCUGUGGGAUACAGAGCAUAAAGGGGAGCACACCACUAAGAUAAAUCUAGGUUCUUGUCUCAUAACCAGGAAAAAUUAGACAUGCCGACAAAUUGAAAGAAGCUUUAGGAGUCAGAUCCUGAUAGAGACCAGACACUGCUGGAAUUCUCACUCCAACAAAAGAUUACUUCAAGGUCGGAACCCAAACCUGGGUGAAGAAUAACUCACUUAUAACCUGGCAGGAUCCAUGAUGGUGCCAGCCCCUUCACCAAAUGUGACCAUAAUUCAAAAGGAUCACAC
rnacentral:lncRNA from 10 species